UUCAGGAUGCCGAUCCGCCCGGUC
rnacentral:piRNA from 1 species